rnacentral:rRNA from 1 species
AUUGAACGCUGGCGGCAGGCCUAACACAUGCAAGUCGAGCGGAUGAGUGGAGCUUGCUCCAUGAUUCAGCGGCGGACGGGUGAGUAAUGCCUAGGAAUCUGCCUGGUAGUGGGGGACAACGUUUCGAAAGGAACGCUAAUACCGCAUACGUCCUACGGGAGAAAGCAGGGGACCUUCGGGCCUUGCGCUAUCAGAUGAGCCUAGGUCGGAUUAGCUAGUAGGUGAGGUAAUGGCUCACCUAGGCGACGAUCCGUAACUGGUCUGAGAGGAUGAUCAGUCACACUGGAACUGAGACACGGUCCAGACUCCUACGGGAGGCAGCAGUGGGGAAUAUUGGACAAUGGGCGAAAGCCUGAUCCAGCCAUGCCGCGUGUGUGAAGAAGGUCUUCGGAUUGUAAAGCACUUUAAGUUGGGAGGAAGGGCAGUAAGUUAAUACCUUGCUGUUUUGACGUUACCAACAGAAUAAGCACCGGCUAACUUCGUGCCAGCCGCCGCAGUAAUAC